ACGGCCACAUUACGUUGAAACAAUUCUCGUGCGAUCACCGAAGUUAAGCAACGUCGAGCCUGGCCAGUGCCUAGAUGGGUAACCAUUUGGGAAUACUAGGUGCUGUAAG